UUUGCCCAGUGCCACAGGGGCUACUGGGUUAAAAGUGAGUCAAAAGAGGCCAGCCAGGAACGCAAUGAGUGGGGUCUUUUAUUUCAAUGUUUCACUACACAAGUGGAUUACAAUUACACCAAUCGGAUUACAGUUUUCUCUGCACUGAUGUCCUGUGCCCACUUGUUCAUCUGAUUUUUUUCUGGUUUGGAAAAACGCCUUCAUCUGGGAGUGCUUCUGACUGCAAAUCAUCACUUACAUUGGUGUCAUGACAAGAAGAAAAAAUUUAAGGGGGUUGUUCACAGGAGAUUUAAUUUUGUAACACCACCAUCAUCUGCAUCUGCAAAACUGGACUGUCAGGUUUAUUAUAAUAACUUAAAUUUUAUAAAAAGAGAAACUGGACUGUCAGGUUUAUUAUAAUAACUUAAAUUUUAUAAAAAGAGAAACUGGACUGUCAGGUUUAUUAUAAUAACUUAAAUUUUAUAAAAAGAGAAACUGGACUGUCAGGUUUAUUAUUAUAAUUUAAAUUUUAUAAAAAGCAAAGCUGGACUGUCAGAAUUAUUAUUAUAAUUUACAUUUUAUAAAAAGAGAAACUGGACUGUCAGGUUUAUUAUAAUAACUUAAAUUUUAU